rnacentral:rRNA from 1 species
GACGAACGCUGGCGGCGUGCUUAACACAUGCAAGUCGAACGGUGAAGCGCCUUCCUUUUUGGUGGGUGUGGAUGAGUGGCGAACGGGUGAGUAACACGUGAGUAACCUGCCCCCUUCUUCUGGAUAACCGCAUGAAAGUGUGGCUAAUACGGGAUAUUCUGGGUCUGUCGCAUGAUGGGUCUGGGAAAGAUAUUGUUUCGGUGGGGGAUGGGCUCGCGGCCUAUCAGCUUGUUGGUGGGGUGAUGGCCUACCAAGGCGGUGACGGGUAGCCGGCCUGAGAGGGUGGACGGGCACACGGGGACUGAGACACGGCCCAGACUCCUAAGGGAGGCAGCAGGGGGGAAUAUUGCACAAUGGGCGCAAGGCUGAUGCAGCGACGCCGCGGGAGGGAUGGAGGCCUUCGGGGUGUGAACCUCUUUCGCCAGUGAAGCAGGCCUGCCUCGUUUGUGGGUGGGUUGACGGUAGCUGGAUAAGAAGCGCCGGCUAACUACGUG